GACGAACGCUGGCGGCGUGCCUAAUACAUGCAAGUAGAACGCUGAAGAGAGGAGCUUGCUCUUCUUGGAUGAGUUGCGAACGGGUGAGUAACGCGUAGGUAACCUGCCUUGUAGCGGGGGAUAACUAUUGGAAACGAUAGCUAAUACCGCAUAACAAUGGAUAACACAUGUCAUUUAUUUGAAAGGGGCAAUUGCUCCACUACAAGAUGGACCUGCGUUGUAUUAGCUAGUAGGUGAGGUAAUGGCUCACCUAGGCGACGAUACAUAGCCGACCUGAGAGGGUGAUCGGCCACACUGGGACUGAGACACGGCCCAGACUCCUACGGGAGGCAGCAGUAGGGAAUCUUCGGCAAUGGGGGAAAGCCUGACCGAGCAACGCCGCGUGAGUGAAGAAGGUUUUCGGAUCGUAAAGCUCUGUUGUAAGACAAGAACGGUUGUGAGAGUGGAAAGUUCACAAUGUGACGGUAGCUUACCAGAAAGGGACGGCUAACUACGUG
rnacentral:rRNA from 1 species